UGGGGAAUAUCGGACAAUGGGCGGAAGCCUGAUCCAGCAACGCCGCGUGAGGGAUGACGGCCUUCGGGUUGUAAACCUCUUUCAGUACCGACGAAGCUGCUCCUUUUGGGGUGGUGACGGUAGGUACAGAAGAAGCACCGGCCAACUACGUGCCAGCAGCCGCGGUAAUACGUAGGGUGCGAGCGUUGUCCGGAAUUAUUGGGCGUAAAGGGCUCGUAGGCGGUUUGUCGCGUCGGGAGUGAAAACAUCGGGCUUAACUCGAUGCUUGCUUUCGAUACGGGCAGACUUGAGGUAUGCAGGGGAGAAUGGAAUUCCUGGUGUAGCGGUGAAAUGCGCAGAUAUCAGGAGGAACACCGGUGGCGAAGGCGGUUCUCUGGGCAUUACCUGACGCUGAGGAGCGAAAGUGUGGGGAGCGAACAG
rnacentral:rRNA from 1 species